GUGAAUCAUCGAAUUUUUGAACGCAAAUUGCACUCUCUUCGGAGAGUGUGCCUGUUUGAGGGUCAGAAUCAAUAAAAAUCGGUGUGUUGCUUUUUUGUGACGCUCCGGAGUCUGGGUUAUUUUAAUACCUUUUAGGUCUUAAGUGCUUUAAAUUGACUUUUUUUGCGCAUUUUAGAUGUACAUAAAUUCUUUUUUUUAUUCGUCUGUCUUAAUGCGCAAAAUCCUACUAGAUGCGACCAUAUAGU
rnacentral:misc_RNA from 1 species